CAGCCCUAAACGAUGCGCGUUAGGUGUAUCGGUGACCACGAGUCACCGAGGUGCCGAAGGGAAACCGUGAAACGUGCCGCCUGGGAAGUACGGUCGCAAGGCUGAAACUUAAAGGAAUUGGCGGGGGAGGCACCACAACGGGUGGAGCCUGCGGUUUAAUUGGACUCAACGCCGGGAAGCUCACCGGAUAAGACAGCGGAAUGAUUGCCGGGCUGAAGACCCUGCAUGACCAGCUGAGAGGAGGUGCAUGGCGUCAGUGACU
rnacentral:rRNA from 1 species